rnacentral:rRNA from 1 species
GGCGAACGGGUGAGUAACGCGUGGAUGAUCUGCCCAGAGGUGGGGGAUAACCCGGGGAAACUCGGGCUAAUACCGCAUGAUACCGAGAGGUCAAAGGGGGCUCGCAAGAGCUCUCGCCAUUGGAGGAGUCCGCGUUCGAUUAGCUAGUUGGUAGGGUAAAGGCCUACCAAGGCGACGAUCGAUAGCCGGCCUGAGAGGGUGAUCGGCCACACUGGAACUGAGACACGGUCCAGACUCCUACGGGAGGCAGCAGUGGGGAAUUUUGCGCAAUGGGCUAACGCCUGACGCAGCAACGCCGCGUGGAGGAUGAAGGUCUUUGGAUUGUAAACUCCUGUCAGCAGGGAAAAAGCGACUUAGCCUAAUACGCUAGGGAGUUGAUUGUACCUGCAGAGGAAGCCCCGGCUAACUCUGUGCCAGCAGCCGCGG